CUUGGGCAGUUACAAAUGGUAUCAGAGUCGGACACCGGACAAUGUGCUAGCGAGGAGGCUGAGGCCUAGAGGGGGGGACACAAGACAGUGUGUCAGUAAGGAUGCUAGGCCCCGAAGGGGGUGGAUUUGGUGGGAUCCGACAUCGAUUGGAGAAAGGAACGAGUGCUA